AACGAACGCUGGCGGCAUGCCUAACACAUGCAAGUCGAACGAGACCUUCGGGUCUAGUGGCGCACGGGUGCGUAACGCGUGGGAACCUGCCCUUAGGUUCGGAAUAACUCCCCGAAAGGGGUGCUAAUACCGGAUAAUGUCUUCGGACCAAAGAUUUAUCGCCUUUUGAUGGGCCCGCGUUGGAUUAGCUAGUUGGUAGGCUAAAAGCCUACCAAGGCGACGAUCCAUAGCUGGUCUGAGAGGAUGAUCAGCCACACUGGGAGUGAGACACGGCGCGGACUCCUACGAGAGGCAGGAAUGGGGAAUAUUGGACGAUGGGCGAAAGACUGAUCCAGCAAGGCCGCGUGAGUGAUGAAGGCCUUAGGGUUGUAAAGCUCUUUUACCCGGGAUGAUAAUGACAGUACCGGGAGAAUAAGCUCCGGCUAACUCCGUG
rnacentral:rRNA from 1 species